UCUUUUGCGCGAGCCGAGGCUGUCCAGAGCGGCUGUGGAGGCUGGGAGUCCUGGACCGGGUCCCCUCUCAUGCCGCUGUUAGGAGCCGAGCAGGGACGGACAGUAACGAGGAUAGGCUCUCACCCUGCGGCGUUAUUACGAUCCAUGGUGUCCGUCGUGGGACGGGCCGCCUUGCGCGGAGGUGUCGGCCGGGGCUGCGCGCUUUCCGAGGCCUUCGUCCCGGCUCUCUGGCCUCGUCCGCCUCCGGAGGCGGCACCCUGAUCCUUGUGCGCGUUUCUACAAGGGGGAGACUGGGGCUGGGAGGGCGACAGUCAUCCUGAGGUCACCGCCCACUGUGCUUGUGGGGGUUCGGCUCUUCUCACAGAACCCGCUCCGUUCCCCGGCUCCUCAACCCGCUUCUGCUCACAGGAUCCCAUGGCGGCCGCUGGGCUCAUGGACCGGGCUCAGACGUGGCUGUACUUUUCUCCCAGGAGGAGUGGGGGCUCCUCGAUGAGGCUCAGAAAUGCCUGGACCACCACGUGAUGCUGGAGACCUUGGCGCUUCUGUCCUCACUGGGUUGUUGGCAUGGAGACCAGCCUGAGGAGCCACCCUCAGCGCAAGGCGUUUCUAGGGAGUGUCACCAUCUGGAAGACCCAGCCCUGUGAGACAUGUAGCUCACUCUUUUUUUUUUUUUUUUUUUUUUUUUUUUUUCGUCUUUUUGCCUUUUGAUGGCCGCUCCCAUGGCAUAUGGAGGUUUCCAAGCUAGGGGUCCAAUCGGAGCUGUAGCCACUGGCCUACGCCAGAUCCACAGCAACGUGGGAUCUGAGCCGAGUCUGCAACCUAUACCACAGCUCAUCUACACCACAGCUCACGGCAACACCGGAUCCUUAACCUACAGAGCAAGGCCAGGGAUCAAACCUGCCACCACAUGGUUCCUAGUUGGGUUCGUUAACCACUGAGCCACGACGGGAACUCCUGUAGCUCACUCUUGAAAGCCAUCAUGUUCCUGGCCGAGCAAGAUGGAACGCACUCUGGGCGAGGACUGUCCACUUGGGGGGCAAGACUUUACCAGCACCAAAAGUGCAACAUUAGAGAGAAACGUUCCAGAAAGGAACUGCGUUGUCCACAUGACAGAGGAGACCUUGGCCUGCAGGGAAGGUGGGAAGGACUUCCCAGCCAGCCCAGGCCCUCUCCAACAACAGACUCUUCACCCUGUGGGAAAGCCACGUGGGGACACCGCAGGUGGAGAGGCCUUUCACAACAGGCACUCAGUGUGGGAAAGCCUUCAGCCGUAACCAUAUACUGGUUGACCAUGAAGAGAUGCAUGCUGGAUGAAAGAUUUCUGAGAAGAGGGAAUGUGGGAAGGCCUUCCUUAGAAAGUCCCACCUCAGCCGGCCCCAGAAAAUCCACAGUGAAGCUAGGCUUUAUGGGCACUCAGAAUGUGGGGUGUUCUUUUUUUUUUUUUUUUUUUUUUUUUUUUUUUGUCUUUUUGCCAUUUCUUGGGCUGCUCCCACAGCAUAUGGAGGUCCUCAGGCUCGGGGUCGAAUCGGAGCUGUAGCUGCCAGCCUACACCAGAGCCACAGCAACACGGGAUCCGAGCCGCAUCUGUGACCUAUGCCACAGCUCACGGCAAUUCCGGAUCCUUAACCCACUGAGGGAUCGAACCCACAACCUCAUGGUUCCUACUCGGAUUUAUUUCUACUGCGCCACGACGGGAACUCCUGGGGGGUAUUCUUUACAGAAAUAUCUGGCCUUGAUGACCGCCAGAGAAUUCACACCCGGCCAAGGCCUCUUGAAUGCAGCCCGUGUGGGAAGGCCUUCCUUAGACUGUCCCAACUCCUGAGUCACCAGAAAACCCACACUGAAGAAAGACCUUAUGGUUGCAGUGAAUGUGGAAAAUUCUUCAGGAACCGUUCCACACUCACUAGACAUCAGAGAGUUCACACUGGGGAAAGGCCGUACAAGGGCAGUGACUGCAGGAAAGCUUUCACCCGCAAAUAUACACUUGCUGAGCAUCAGAAAAUCGACAGUGGUGAAAAGCCUUUUGAGUGCAGAGCAUGUGGGAAAGCUUUCAGCCGCAAAGACAAAAUUGUGGAGCACCAGAAAAUCCACACUGGAGCAAGGGCUUAGGAGUGUGGCGAAUGUGGGAAAUGCUUUAUGGACAACUCCUCACUCAUUAGUCAUCAGAGAGUCCACACUGGAGAAAGGCCUUAAGAGGGCGGCAAGUGUGGGAAAUUGUUUUGGUACCGCUUCAUGCUCAUUAGACAUCAGAGAACUCAUCCUGGAGAAAGGCCUGCUGCAGGCAUUGACGUAGGAAACUCUUACUGCAGCUCCAUAGUCAUUAGACGCUGGACACAUGCCGCUAGAGAAAUGCCUUAGGAGUGCAGCUGCUGUGGGAACUUUUAACAGUCCAACUCCAGCCUCAGCACACAGCAGCGAAUUCAUGUUGCUGCGAGGCCUUAUGAGAACAGCAAAUAUGGGAACAUCUUUAUAUACAACUCUGGCCUCUUUCAACAUUGUUGAGGUGACACUGGAGAAAUGCCUUCUAAGUGAAGUGAAUGCUGGAGAGUCUGUAGCUCCCAUUCAUUUGGCUCCAAAAAGUUCACACCAGGAAAAGGGCUUAGGAAGGAAGCACAUGGGGAAAGGACUUCAGCCAAAAGUCUGCUCUGAUGGACACUGUGAAGUACACGUUCUGUACUUUGGGGUUUUUUCCCCCUUCUUAUUGCGUUAAAAUACACAUACAGAAAAUUUG
rnacentral:lncRNA from 1 species